UGGUGCUCACACCCUCAGCGCUCCUCGGCAGCUCCUUCAGAGACCUGCUCAGCUGCUUGCCUUUGCUGUGGAACAUCUCACGCUUGUGGACAGGAUUUCUCUCCUGGGUAGGGUGACUCUGUACCCAGAAGUGUGUCAGGAGUACUUGGAGGUCUGCUACCCUCCUUGUGUUCCAGGUCUUCAUUGCAUUGGAAGAGGAGACUAUAGUGUGAGAUGAAAACCCGGAGGCGCUGCACACACACCAGCAGCAGGCACUUAGAAUCUGAGAAAUCAACAGCAGAAAGGCUUUCCCUGCCAAGUAUCAAUCCUUGGCAUUGACUGUGGGGUAUUGGACACUUCAGGGACACAGGUUUGUCCUCAUAUCUCAGCUGCAAGCAUGAAAAUGGAGUUUAAUAUUUUCGUACCUGGACCUGCUAUGACUUUCACACCUCCUUCUCCCAUUGGCAUGAUCCUGGUGUCAGACACUGUUGAAGAACAAAGGUUCUGGGAGGUUAAUGGAUCGAAAUGGGCUGCCCUGGAGAGGUGUUGGUACUGUCUGCGAUCCAUGAUCAUCCUUCUGUGCUCUUCUGUACAAAGAAAGAACAAGACAGUCAGGAAGUAUAAAUGCUACAAAGUGCUAUGCUACAGUUGUGGCAA